UUUUUCUCGCAGUAAAAAGCAUUGAAAGUUAAACUUUGAGAAUAUAAUUCUUUAACAAAAUUAUAUUAAGUGUCCCUAGCUUGCCCAAUUGAGGAUAAACAACAUGCGAGGCAGUAUUCAAAGGACAAAUAUCACAUCAGAUAAGGCUCAAGACCUGAAUCCAAUACAAGUCCUCCACCCAAACAACAAGCCCAAUAAAGAGACCCAGCCCCUAAUCAGACAUGCCCUGCAAUUAUCCCAUUAAAAACUCAGAAGCUUCUACCACUUGCAGCGCCGCCGACCAGUGACUGAGCGAGGGAGACCCAUCGGAGUUGAACCAAAACAGAGAGAAACUCUCCUUCAAAGACUAGCAAAACAAAGAAAAAUAGACAAAGCCAAGAGGGAAUCGCCCCACAGCCACACGAAGUGAGCCAAACUGUUCCAGAGAUGUACACAGACCUCGAGCCUACGCCAUGGGAAGAAAAGAAAGGCAGGGGUCAUGGCCUCCGCAACCACAAGUACAAAUUAUAAUAUCAAAACGAAUGUGGUUGAUCCAUGAGCAAGAAGAGACCAAAAGGUCCGCGGUCCGCCAUGAGGCCGCAGCGCCAAUCUCACAGGAUAUGCAGCUCCUUCUUCAACAGAAAAUAUGCCCGUACCGUUAGUUAUAUCUGUUUUCACAGAGCAGGACGCAUGCAGUUGAUGGAAAAAUUGGGGUACUCUUUGGCUAGAAUCCUUGUAUGAGAAUUGAUGGCUGCUUUUGAGAUUGUAUAGGCUGACAGAAAUGUAGGCCACCCUUUGGUUUCUAAAGAAUCCCCCUUGAAAUCUCUCAGGAAUUUACUCAAAAUCUCAUCUAUUUUAUCCUCUGAAAGCCUAUCAGCGUCGCUUAGCACUCCUUUAGCCCAUUCAUUGGGUAUAUACUGAAAAGAUACAUAACAUAUACGACAAGAAACUUGUGUUAAAUUAUCUACUACUUGAGCUUACUCAUGAUUUCAAGCCAAGUUCGUCAGUAUUGUACCUUCAACAUUCCCAUGGUAGAAGAAAUGCUCACAAUCCUUGGAGAGUCGGAUAGCUGGAGCAGGGAAAUAAGAGCUUCAGUUGUUCUUUUCGCUCCGCAGUAGUUUAUGUUGAGGCAUUUUUCUGCUUGUUCGUAGUUUUGAGUCAAUACUUUACUCCAAACAUUCUGCACAUCUUCCUAUAUAAAUGACAAACAACUCGAGUUAACUAGUUUUAAUUUGAGCAUUUGGCUAAACAAAAGGUAAAGAAUCCUUUGCUAAAGCUUCUGUAAAUUGGAUCUAAUUCUAAACUCAAUCAUCAGUUUAAUGGAGAAAAAUAAAUCCUAUGGGAAGGACUUGUGAUGGGGUAUCGGAAAGAAGAUCCGAACAUCUCACACCCAGGGUGCAAGCUCCACAAGAUUGCACGCCUAGGUGUGAGAUGAAAGACCUUGACAUUAGGUUCAGAGCAAACCUCAAGGCCAGGGCAUGCUGUUCCAACCCGAAUUCUCCAGUUUUCUCAAGAAUUUCCAGUUCUAAUUGGACUUUUAUUUUACUAGAUAAGUUUUGAUUUAAUUACCUAGUUUCUUUAAUCUUUAUUUCUAAUUAGUUUAGGUUUUUAACUAUUUCCUACUUAGAUUCAGAGUUAUAAACUCUAUAUAUAGCAUGCAUUUUCAUAUUAUGCAUAUUUUUUUAGACUUUCAAGUGUUUGAUAUGCGUCAAAUUACCUCGGUUCCAGAAAUGCUCAAAGUUGCUAAUUUCUCUCUGUCUAUAGUGGCUCCUCUAACUGCUGCAUUGUUCACCUGUUCAAUAACUAGAAGAUAUUAGUUUCCUUCCAAUUUAAGAUUUAAUGGCAACCCAAAGAAAACAAGACAAAGAAGCACACCCUCAAGAUGAAGAAACAAGGAGCUGAAAAUGGCCACGUACAGUACAGCCCGCAGGAUUUGAGGAAGUUGGGUCUCGGACAUAACAAUAUAUCAAGUUCUCCAAAUUGAUGAAUUCUGCCAGAGAUGCAAUGCUAGCAGGGUCCGUCACAUCAAGCUGAUGGAAAACCACAUGAUUAGAGAGACCAAACUCUUUCAAGUUUUUCAACAGCUUCAAGCCCUCUCUUUUCGUCUCUAGCUGUCAAUACCACCGUGAUUCCAUUUGAUGCCAACAGCUUUACCAUUCAGCAUCCAAGCCCUUUGUUUGCCCCUGUAACAACUGCAUACCUGCCCAAAAAGGAAAAAAAGAUCAGAGGGAAAAGUGAUGGAAAGAUUUGGAAAUCACAGUGACAGGAACUGAUUGCUACCUUCUACCUGUUUUUAAAUUUCUUGAUACUUAGCAGUUGUUCAUGUAGCACCAGAAAAAACUAAUUGAUAUUAUUAGGUGCGUUUAG
rnacentral:misc_RNA from 1 species